AAGUCGUAACAAGGUUUCCGUAGGUGAACCUGCGGAAGGAUCAUUACCGAGUUCAUGCCCUCACGGGUAGAUCUCCCACCCUUUGUAUACCAUACCUUUGUUGCUUUGGCGGGCCGCCUAGCUACUGGCUUCGGCUGGUAAGUGCCCGCCAGAGGACCCAAAACCCUGAAUAUUAGUGUCGUCUGAGUAAAAUUUUAAUAUUUAAAACUUUCAACAACGGAUCUCUUGGCUCUG
rnacentral:misc_RNA from 1 species